rnacentral:rRNA from 1 species
GACGAAGGUGGCAAGCGUUAUUCGGAUUUACUGGGCAUAAAGCGCGCGUAGGCGGCUUGGCAAGUCGGGGGGUGAAAGCCCGCAGCUCAACUGCGGAACUGCCUUCGAUACUGCCGGGCUUGAGGGCGGGAGGGGUGAUUGGAACUCCAGGUGUAGCGGUGAAAUGCGUAGAUAUCUGGAGGAACACCGGAGGCGAAGGCGAAUCACUGGACCGCUUCUGACGCUGAGGCGCGAAAGCUAGGGGAGCAAACGGG